UACGUAGGGGGCAAGCGUUGUCCGGAUUUAUUGGGCGUAAAGAGCGUGUAGGCGGCUAGAUAGGUCCGUUGUGAAAACUCGAGGCUCAACCUCGAGACGUCGAUGGAAACCAUCUGGCUAGAGUCCGGAAGAGGAGAGUGGAAUUCCUGGUGUAGCGGUGAAAUGCGUAGAUAUAUGGAGGAACACCAGUGGCGAAGGCGACUCUCUGGUCUGUAACUGACGCUGAGGCGCGAAAGCGUGGGGAGCAAACAGG
rnacentral:rRNA from 1 species